UACGAAGGGUGCAAGCGUUACUCGGAAUUACUGGGCGUAAAGGGCGCGUAGGUGGUGGCUUAAGCGUGCGGUGAAAGCUCGGGGCUCAACUCCGAGUCGGCCGUGCGAACUGGGCUCACUGGAGCAUAGUAGAGGCAGGUGGAAUUCCGGGUGUAGCGGUGGAAUGCGUAGAGAUCCGGAAGAACACCGGUGGCGAAGGCGGCCUGCUGGGCUAUGGCUGACACUGAGGCGCGACAGCGUGGGGAGCAAACAGG
rnacentral:rRNA from 1 species